UACGGAGGGUGCGAGCGUUGUCCGGAAUCACUGGGCGUAAAGGGCGCGUAGGCGGCCUGAUAAGUAGGGGGUGAAAUCUUGCGGCUUAACCGCAAGGCUGCCUUCUAAACUGUCGGGCUAGAGCACAGUAGAGGCAGACGGAAUUCCGGGUGUAGCGGUGGAAUGCGUAGAGAUCCGGAGGAAGACCGGUGGCGAAGGCGGUCUGCUGG
rnacentral:rRNA from 1 species